rnacentral:tRNA from 1 species
CGGGAAGUGGCGCAGUCCGGUAGCGCACCAGCAUGGGGUGCUGGGGGCCGCAGGUUCAAAUCCUGUCUUCCCGA